CCUACGGGAGGCAGCAGUGGGGAAUAUUGGACAAUGGGCGAAAGCCUGAUCCAGCAAUGCCGCGUGAGUGAUGAAGGCCUUCGGGUCGUAAAGCUCUUUUACCAGGGAUGAUAAUGACAGUACCUGGAGAAUAAGCUCCGGCUAACUCCGUGCCAGCAGCCGCGGUAAUACGGAGGGAGCUAGCGUUGUUCGGAAUUACUGGGCGUAAAGAGUACGUAGGCGGUUAUUCAAGUCAGAGGUGAAAGCCCGGGGCUCAACCCCGGAACUGCCUUUGAAACUAGAUAACUAGAGUCUUGGAGAGGUUAGUGGAAUUCCGAGUGUAGAGGUGAAAUUCGUAGAUAUUCGGAAGAACACCAGUGGCGAAGGCGACUAACUGGACAAGUACUGACGCUGAGGUACGAAAGCGUGGGAGCAAACAGGAUUAGAUACCCUGGUAGUCCACGCCGUAAACGAUGAUAACUAGUUGUUCGGUCACUUGGUGACUGAGUGACGCAGCUAACGCAUUAAGUUAUCCGCCUGGGGAUACGGUCGCAAGAUUAAAACUCAAAAGAUUAGACGGACGNGAGAGAGCGACGACGACGACGAGGAGGAG
rnacentral:rRNA from 1 species